AGGAAGCCGGUGUGAAUCCGGCACGGUCCCGCCACUGUGAUCGGGGAGCGACCCUCAAACGCCACGGCUCUGCAAAGGGCUGGAAGGCGAGGCGAGCAGUGAUCCGAGAGUCAGGACACU
rfam:Mycobacterium arupense strain GTC1 Marup_contig000123, whole genome shotgun sequence.